rnacentral:rRNA from 1 species
UGAGCAAUCUGCCCUUCUCAUCGGAAUAAGCGUUGGAAACGACGUCUAAUGCCGAAUACGACCUCCUUUCACAUGAACGGAGGUGGAAAGCUCCGGCGGAGAAGGAUGAGCUCGCGGCCUAUCAGCUAGUUGGUGUGGGUAAUGGCCCACCAAGGCGACGACGGGUAGCCGGCCUGAGAGGGUGACCGGCCACACUGGGACUGAGACACGGCCCAGACUCCGUACGGGAGGCAG